UGAGACAUAACAGGUGUUCAGCUCCCCA
rnacentral:piRNA from 1 species